rnacentral:rRNA from 1 species
GACGAACGCUGGCGGCGUGCUUAACACAUGCAAGUCGAACGGUAAGGCCCCUUCGGGGGUACACGAGUGGCGAACGGGUGAGUAGCACGUGAGCAACCUGCCCUUGACUCUGGGAUAACAGUUGGAAACAGCUGCUAAUACCGGAUACGACCUUCGAUGACAUCAUCUGGAGGUGGAAAGCGCUUUAGCGGUCAAGGAUGGGCUCGCGGCCUAUCAGCUUGUUGGUGAGGUAGCGGCUCACCAAGGCUUCGACGGGUAGCCGGUCUGAGAGGGCGACCGGCCACACUGGGACUGAGAUACGGCCCAGACUCCUACGGGAGGCAGCAGUGGGGAAUAUUGCACAAUGGGCGCAAGCCUGAUGCAGCAACGCCGCGUGCGGGAUGACGGCCUUCGGGUUGUAAACCGCUUUCAGUUCCGACGAAGCGCAAGUGACGGUAGGAACAGAAGAAGGACCGGCCAACUACGUGCCAGCCGCCGCCGUAA